rnacentral:lncRNA from 1 species
CUCAGCCUGGCUCUGGGGCAGACCUAGAGGCUCAUUCUGUAGGCACCAGCCUUGAGUUUGAGGCUGUGGGGCCUGCCCGGUUCUGAGUUUUAUGGAGGUGGGCCCAGUACUCAAGGCAAAGUUCAGUGAUACUUUCCUAUCUUUCCCUCAAGAAGAUGGUAUCUCUGUGCUGUGCUGCCUUUGGUUGGGCAAGAUGUGAAGCAGUUCCUGGGACUCAGAGAAAAUAAAUGACUGCCCAAAGUCUUCUAAUAACAAGAGACAGGUUCUCACCAUGUUUCCAAGGCUGGUCUCAAACUCCUGAGCUCAAGGGAUCUGCUGGCCUCGGCCUCCGAAAGUGCUGGGAUUACAGACAUUUCCUAUGUUGUGAGCUACAGUUACUUCUGAG